AUAUAUAUAUAUAUGUAUACACAUUCUUUAAGAUUUAUUAGGCGUCUUAACUUGUGGAGUAUUAUAGCCUAGUUUGGCUUAGUCAUCCACUAAUUAAAGACAUAUUAUAGGUGUUAAAGUUGAGUCUCCGCGCCUUCCACUCCCUCUCCUUAUUGCUUUGGUUUGCAGAUUCUGUUUAUACAUUUGUUUUCUUUAUGAUAAUAAGAAGCUAUUAAGAAUGAUCUGUCUUUAUGAGUGAAGAGAAAGAUGGAGAUGAUGAAUGGCCAUUGGAAA
rnacentral:misc_RNA from 1 species